rnacentral:rRNA from 1 species
UACGGGGGGAGCAAGCGUUGUUCGGAUUUACUGGGCGUAAAGGGCGCGUAGGCGGCUCAACAAGUCACUUGUGAAAUCUCCGGGCUUAACCCGGAGCGGCCAAGUGAUACUGUCGUGCUAGAGUGCGGAAGGGGCUACUGGAAUUCUCGGUGUAGCGGUGAAAUGCGUAGAUAUCGAGAGGAACACCUGCGGCGAAGGCGGGUAGCUGGGCCGACACUGACGCUGAGGCGCGAAAGCCAGGGGAGCAAACGGG